rnacentral:rRNA from 2 species
CCCCUUCUUUGGGAUAACUGUCGGAAACGGUGGCUARUACUGGAUAUUCAGGUCGCACCGCAUGGUGUGGUUUGGAAAGGUUUUUUCUGGUGGGGGAUGGGCUCGCGGCCUAUCAGCUUGKUGGUGGGGUGAUGGCCUACCAAGGCUUUGACGGGUAACCGGCCUGAGAGGGUGACCGGUCACACUGGGACUGAGAUACGGCCCAGACUCCUACGGGAGGCAGCAGUGGGGAAUAUUGCACAAUGGGCGAAAGCCUGAUGCAGCGACGCCGCGUGAGGGAUGGAGGCCUUCGGGUUGUAAACCUCUUUCAGUAAGGGUGAAGGCUCUCUUUUGUGGGGGGUUGACAGUACUUGCAGAAGAAGCGCCGGCUAACUACGUGCCAGCAGCCGCGGUAAUACGUAGGGCGCGAGCGUUGUCCGGAAUUAUUGGGCGUAAAGGGCUUGUAGGUGGCGUGUCGCGUCUGCUGUGAAAUUCCAGGGCUUAACUUUGGGAUUGCAGUGGGUACGGGCAUGCUAGAGUGCAGUAGGGGAGAUUGGAAUUCCUGGUGUAGCGGUGAAAUGCGCAGAUAUCAGGAGGAACACCGGUGGCGAAGGCGGGUCUCUGGGCUGUUACUGACGCUGAGGAGCGAAAGCGUGGGGAGCGAACAGGAUUAGAUACCCUGGUAGUCCAUGCUGUAAACGUUGGGCACUAGGUGUGGGGUCUGUUUCCACGGAUUCUGCGCCGUAGCUAACGCAUUAAGUGCCCCGCCUGGGGAGUACGGCCGCAAGGCUAAAACUCAAAGAAAUUGACGGGGGCCCGCACAAGCGGCGGAGCAUGCGGAUUAAUUCGAUGCAACGCGAAGAACCUUACCAAGGCUUGACAUACACUGCGACAUGCCAGAGAUGGUGUGGCCUUYGGGGUGGUGUACAGGUGGUGCAUGGUUGUCGUCAGCUCGUGUCGUGAGAUGUUGGGUUAAGUCCCGCAACGAGCGCAACCCUUGUCUCAUGUUGCCAGCACUUCGGGUGGGGACUCGUGAGAGACUGCCGGGGUUAACUCGGAGGAAGGUGGGGAUGACGUCAAAUCAUCAUGCCCCUUAUGUCUUGGGCUUCAC